rnacentral:rRNA from 1 species
UACGGGGGGGGCAAGCGUUGUUCGGAAUUACGGGGCGUAAAGCGCGCGUAGGCGGAUCACUAAGUCAGGGGUGAAAUCCCGAGGCUUAACCUCGGAACUGCCUUUGAUACUGGAGAUCUGGAGAUCGGGAGAGGUUGGUGGAAUUCCGAGUGUAGAGGUGAAAUUCGUAGAUAUUCGGAGGAACACCAGAAGCGAAGGCGGCCAACUGGCCCGAUACUGACGCUGAGGCGCGAAAGCGUGGGGAGCAAACAGG